CCGGGCACAGUGGCUCACGCCUGUAAUCCCAGCACUUUGUUAUAAUCAAUGGAGAAAAACUGAAAGCUUUUAAGGUCCAUACAAAGCAAGGAUGUCCGCUCUCACAACUUCUAUUCAAUACAGUACUGGUAGUCCUAGCCAGAGGCAUUGGACAAGAAAAAUAAAUAAAAGGCACAUACAUCAAAAAAUAACUGAAAUUAUCCCUGGUUACAAGUGAUAUGAUCAUACACAUAGAAAGCUCUGAAAACUCAACAACAAGAAAAAACCGUUAAAAGUAAUAAACAAUUUAAAGUUGCUUAUUAUAAAAUCAAUACAAAAAAAUCAGUGGCUUUUUUUUUUUUUUUUAAGACAGAGUCUCACUCUGUCGCCAGGCUGGAGCUCAGUAGGUCACUGUGCCACUGGGCCAUGGGCAACUCCUCCUCACCACCUCUGAUGGAGCAGCCCCAUCCCGAUCUGUGCCUCAGCUUUAUUACUGGUGAGAGCAGAAUGACAGUGCCCACCUCACAGGGUGGAUAGAGUUUUACGUGAAGUAACAUUUUUAAGGCACCGAGCACAGUGCCAGACAUGUGGUAGGCACAAGGUCAGUACUUGCUAAAUAAAUGAGUUAAUUUGCUCCCACCUUUUCUAUUUUGGAUUCUACAUAGUAAGGCAUUCGCCUAGCUCAGGGCAGAGGAUCACCUAUCUGUAUGUUGCCAAACACCAUCCUGCUCUCAGCAAAUACCAAGAUAUUAGACCCUUUCAAAGCAACAUCUUUGAAGCAAUGCAGAAUAGAGUUUCUCCAAUUGUACAAAGAAUAAAACUAAGACAAUCAGACCCUCUCAGAAUGUCAAACAAAGAGUCAGGUAUGUUAGGAAAGUGACUAGGUCUAGGGCUCUCCCUGGCCUCAGGGAUGAUCCCAUAGGAUCGCCAUUUUCAUUGACUACACAGACAUCAAGAAAAAUCUCAUCUCUCUCCUUCUCUCUCUGCCUCUCCUCUCUCUCUCUCAUCAUCUAUCUACAUUCAGGUUAAAUCUCAGGUUCAAUGGAAGGAUAAAAGACAGUAACAAAAUGGAAUGAUUACCU
rnacentral:lncRNA from 1 species